rnacentral:rRNA from 1 species
UACGUAGGUGGCAAGCGUUGUUCGGAAUUAUUGGGCGUAAAGGGCGCGUAGGCGGUCUUGUAAGUCAGCUGUGAAAGCCCCCGGCUCAACUGGGGAGGGUCACGCGAUACUGAUCGACUCGAAGGCAGGAGAGGGUAGUGGAAUUCCCGGUGUAGUGGUGAAAUGCGUAGAUAUCGGGAGGAACACCAAUGGCGAAGGCAGCUCGCUGGGACGUUACUGACGCUGAGACGCGAAAGCGUGGGGAGCAAACAGG